CUACCAACUGAAAGGAGAGAAGGUUAGCACUCCCCUUGACAAGGAUGGAAGAGGCUUCGGCCUGCAAUACACAUACGGUUAAGGCAUUGCCACCUACUUCGUGGCAUCUAACUGCCGUUUUUA